AUUUUUGCCUAGUCAUUUACGGUAUGUCAGCCCUUAUAAAAGUAGGCUUUCCCCUCAGUCCAACAUCAGUCUCAUCUGGAACCAAGUUGGUGACACGGACUUGAACUCUCUCUACCUGGUAACCUCAACUCUAAGAUACAGCCAUGUCUCGUCUGCAAAAUGUCAUCAAAGGCAUGGUGGAAUUGUACGAGGAGUACUCUGACGCUGAUGGCAAGAUAAGCAAGGAGGAGAUGAUGAAGAUGGUGGAUAAAGAAGUUGAAUGCUCUGAGAUGAAAGAAAAACUCAAAGCUAAAAAAUGUGACAAGAACCAUGCGAUGGAGAGAUCGACUUCAGAGAUUUCGCUAGGUGUGUGGGAACCGUGGCCGUUUGCUGCUACCAAAAGAAAACUGGCAAGGGCCAAGCCUGGGGAGACUGCUCCAAAAAAUGCUAAUGUGAUAAUGUUACACUCCCUACAUGAGAAUGUGAUGGCCCUUCAAUACUGGCUAAUAAAAAAAUGAAAAAAUAGAGUUUAAAUCAA